AGUUUGUGACAGGCACGAUGAUUGCGGAGCUGAAGUUCAGGCAGCGGGAGCGAGGAGGGUGUGUGGCUUUUGAUACAGUAGAGUUCUUUGGCCUACUCACCAAUUGACAGUCCCAAAGGGGCUGGAGAUGCCACCCCGGCAAAGUUCGCCCUAGUCAUUUGCUUCACCUCUCCAGAACACAUGCAUCAAACCCGGGAUCCCCUGUGCCCUGGUGGGAUGGCAGGAGUCUCUAGCUGUUUGGAUCAUCUUCCCAAACCUUAACUUCACCUUUACAUGAUGAGGAUCUACAGAGCAGCAUCUCAGCCCUUUCCUGCAAACACACAGUGCUUCUGAAUGCAGAAUUCUAGGCUACGGAAGGGAGGGGACACAGGUAGAUGCCAUCUGUGGUCAGGGGGAGGUGUGGUCCCGAGACCAUCUCAGCUGAAAUGUAGGAGUAAUGGGCACAGACCAUUCAAGAGAAAUGUGUGUUGGGCUGAAGAAAGUAGAAACUACCUUCAGAGUAUCUCCUCCGUCUCUAAGACAUGCACGGUUUAAUUCUGUUAUUUUGUGAGGCUCUUUGCACCAUGACACAAGCA
rnacentral:sRNA from 1 species